GGUAGCGUGGUGACGGGGCGCGGGGCGCGGCGGGCGACUGAUCCACAUGCCGCGUGCUGAUGAAGGCCUUCGGGUUGUAUAUGCUUUUGUGCGGAACGAAAAGGCUCCUUCUAAUACUGGGUGCUGAUGACGGUACCGUAAGAAUAAGCACCGGCUAACUACGUGCCAGCAACCGCGGUAAUUAAGGC
rnacentral:rRNA from 1 species